rnacentral:rRNA from 1 species
UACGAAGGUUGCAAGCGUUACUCGGAAUUACUGGGCGUAAAGCGUGCGUAGGUGGUUCGUUAAGUCUGUCGUGAAAGCCCCGGGCUCAACCUGGGAAUGGCGAUGGAUACUGGCGGGCUAGAGUGCGGUAGAGGAGAGUGGAAUUCCCGGUGUAGCAGUGAAAUGCGCAGAUAUCAGGAAGAACACCCGUGGCGAAGGCGGCUCUCUGGGACGGUACUGACGCUGAGACGCGAAAGCGUGGGGAGCGAACAGG